rnacentral:rRNA from 1 species
CACGUAGGGGGCAAGCGUUGUCCGGAUUUAUUGGGCGUAAAGAGCUCGUAGGCGGUUUGUCGCGUCUGCUGUGAAAUUUCGGGGCUCAACCCCGGACUUGCAGUGGGUACGGGCAGACUAGAGUGUGGUAGGGGAGACUGGAACUCCUGGUGUAGCGGUGAAAUGCGCAGAUAUCAGGAGGAACACCGAUGGCGAAGGCAGGUCUCUGGGCCACUACUGACGCUGAGAAGCGAAAGCAUGGGGAGCGAACAGG